UACGAGGGGGGGCAAGCGUUGUUCGGAAUUAUUGGGCGUAAAGGGUGCGUAGGCGGUCUGACAAGUCUGAUGUGAAAUCUAUGGGGCUCAACCCAUAGUCUGCAUCGGAAACUGUCGGGCUGGAGUAUGGGAGAGGUGAGUGGAAUUUCCGGUGUAGCGGUGAAAAUGCGUAGAUAUCGGAAGGAACACCUGUGGCGAAAGCGGCUCACUGGACCAUUACUGACGCUGAUGCACGAAAAGCUAGGGGGAGCAAACAGG
rnacentral:rRNA from 1 species